ensembl:lncRNA
CUUAAAUGUCUCCAGUUAUCCCGAGUUCUCUCUGACUGUCUCCUUGGUGCAUUUAAACCCCUGUUCCUCCCUGUCCUCGUCGUCUGUUGUCUUCGUCUCCAUUAUCAGUCAUCAUAACUUUACCAUCUCUGUGCAAGACUUCAAAUGACUUUAUUAAAUCAUAAGAUUCUUAAAUUCAAGUCUCUCUGUGCCUGGGUCCUCGUUACAAAACAUGACAUCGCUGUUUUGUAUAUUUUAACACAAUUUAAUCCCCACAUUUGUGAAAGAAAAGCAAAACACUUUUUUGAAAAGUCUGUAACAAAACCAUCAAAUCUGAUAAAGGUUAUUUAAAUGCUAGAAAAGAAUAUUGGAUGGGAAUAAAAAAAUAAAUAAUACAUAUCCUAACCUUAAUUACUGGGGGAGAAUAAUGAAUGAUAGUGAGUAAAAAGUCAACUGAGUGCAUUUUUUGGACAGAGAUUGUGUAUGCAUAAUUAGGGAUGGAUACAUAAAAACACACUGGAAAAAAUAGAAGUCCUUGAAAUGUACAAAAUAAUAAAAAAAAUGAUAAAAAUGGAGACACCUUGGCCUAUGGUACAAUGUAUACUAUGUAUGAAAAGUUCUUUACUGCAGAUACUCCUAUGGCUCUGCAGAUUUUUUAUUUUAUUUUAACCUAUGUGGCCUCACCUUGAGGUUGGCAAAUUUGUCUAUGACUUUUUGGUGGUCAACUCUAUCAAGCAGCUUAACAGUUUCUGUUUUGCUGUCUCUUUUCUUGUCUGUUUUCUUACCUGGUUCUUCCUGACCUUGCACUUUCUCCUCACGUUCCCCUCUUUCCUCUCUCCCUCUUUAGACUGACAAUCAUACACAAAUAGAUUGUAUUCAAUUAGAUGAAAAAAUUACAUUGAAAUGAAAAAAAAAAAAAUUAAGAUCACUAAUAAAAAAGUCCUCUCUCAGUGUACUUUCAACCAAAAGGCAAAUAACCAAACCACAUGUACAUCUAAUAAAAAAUCUAAAUAUUGAAACACUGAUCCAACAUUAUCCUUUAUUGACGUAUCAUUUGAUCUUACACUUUUACCUGAAUGUGGCUCCUGGGUUUAAUAUCGGCACAUAU